GACGGGCCCGCACAAGCAGCGGAGCGUGUGGUUUAAUUCGAUGCUACACGAAGAACCUACCAGGGUUUGACAUGCAAGUGGUAGGAAGCCGAAAGGUGACCGACCCUUCGGGGAGCUUGCACAGGUGCUGCAUGGCUGUCGUCAGCUCGUGUCGUGAGAUGUUCGGUUAAGUCCGCUAACGAGCGCAACCCUCGCUGUGUGUUAUAUGUGUCACACAGGACUGCCGGUCUUAAGCCGGAGGAAGGUGGGAUGAUGUCAAGUCAGCAUGGCCUUUAUAUCCUGGGCUACACACACGCUACAAUGGCCAACACAAUAGGUUGCUAAGCCGCGAGGUGGCGCCAAUCCAUAAAGUUGGUCUCAGUUCAGAUUGUAGGCUGCAACCCGCCUGCAUGAAGAUGGAGUUGCUAGUAACCGCAGGUCAGCUAUACUGCGGUGAAUACCGUUCCGGGGCUU
rnacentral:rRNA from 1 species